rnacentral:rRNA from 1 species
UACGGAGGAGGCAAGCGUUAUCCGGAAUUAUUGGGCGUAAAGCGUCCGUAGGUGGUUGACCAAGUCUUCUGUCAAAGCGUGGAGCUUAACUCCAUAAUGGCAGGAGAAACUGGUGAGCUAGAGUGCGAUAGGGGCAAGGGGAAUUCCCAGUGUAGCGGUGAAAUGCGUAGAUAUUGGGAAGAACACCGGUGGCGAAAGCGCCUUGCUGGGUCUGCACUGACACUGAGGGACGAAAGCUAGGGGAGCGAAA